ensembl:miRNA mir30b microRNA mir-30b
UUCCGGCUCAGUUGGUGUAAACAUCCUACACUCAGCUGUGAUCCUUUGCGGCAGAGGCUGAGAGAAGGUUGUUUACUUGAACUGGCUGGA